UACGGGGGGGGCAAGCGUUGUUCGGAAUUACUGGGCGUAAAGGGCUCGUAGGUGGCCAACUAAGUCAGACGUGAAAUCCCCAGGCUUAACCUGGGAACUGCGUCUGAUACUGGAUGGCUUGAGUUCGGGAGAGGGAUGCAGAAUUCCAGGUGUAGCGGUGAAAUGCGUAGAUAUCUGGAGGAAUACCGGUGGCGAAGGCGGCAUCCUGGACCGAGAUUGACACUGAUGAGCGAAAGCUAGGGGAGCAAACGGG
rnacentral:rRNA from 1 species